AGCAGCCGCGGUAAUUCCAGCUCCAAUAGCGUAUAUUAAAGUUGUUGCAGUUAAAAAGCUCGUAGUUGAAUUUCGGGGUCAGUAGGCUGGUCAUGCCACAGGUAUGUACUGGUCUCACUGAUUCCUCCUUCCUGAUGAACCGUAAUGCCAUUAAUUUGGUGUUGCGGGGAAACUGGACUGUUACUUUGAAAAAAUUAGAGUGUUUAAAGCAGGCUAACGCUUGAAUACAUUAGCAUGGAAUAAUGAAAUAGGACGUUCGAUCCUAUUUUGUUGGUUUCUAGGAUUGACGUAAUGAUUAAUAGGGAUAGUUGGGGGCAUUAGUAUUCAAUUGUCAGAGGUGAAAUUCUUGGAUUUAUUGAAGACUAACUACUGCGAAAGCAUUUGCCAAGGAUGUUUUCAUUAAUCAAGAACGAAAGUUAGGGGAUCGAAGACGAUCAGAUACCGUCGUAGUCUUAACCAUAAACUAUGCCGACUAGGGAUCGGAUGAUGUUAAUUUUUUAAUGACUCAUUCGGCGCCUUACG
rnacentral:rRNA from 1 species